rnacentral:rRNA from 1 species
AGUGAACGCUGGCGGUAGGCUUAACACAUGCAAGUCGAACGGCAGCACAGGAGAGCUUGCUCUCUGGGUGGCGAGUGGCGGACGGGUGAGGAAUACAUCGGAAUCUACUCUGUCGUGGGGGAUAACGUAGGGAAACUUACGCUAAUACCGCAUACGACCUACGGGUGAAAGCAGGGGAUCUUCGGACCUUGCGCGAUUGAAUGAGCCGAUGUCGGAUUAGCUAGUUGGCGGGGUAAAGGCCCACCAAGGCGACGAUCCGUAGAUGGACUGAGAGGAUGGACUGACACACUGGAACUGAGACACGGUGCAGCCUCCUACGGGAGGACGCAGUGGGGAAUAUUGGACACUGGGCGCGAGCCUGAUCCAGCCAUCCCGCGUGGGUGAAGAAGGCCUUCGGGUUGUAAAGCCCUUUUGUUGGGAAAGAAAUCCAGCUGGCUAAUACCCGGUUGGGAUGACGGUACCCAAAGAAUAAGCACCGGCUAACUUCGUGCCAGCCGCCGCAGUAA